GCUGGAUGUGGUGGCGCGUGCCUGUAGUCCCAGUUACUCAGGAGGCCGAGGCUGGAGAGUGGCUUGAGCCCAGGAGUUCUGGGCUGUAGUACACUAUGCUGAUCAGGUGUCCACACUAAGUUCGGCAUCAAUAUGGUGACCUCUCAGGAGCAGGGGACCACCAGGUUGCCUAAGGAGGGGUGAACCGGCCCAGGCCAGAAACAGAGCAGGUCAAAACUCCCGUGCUGAUCAGUAGUGGGAUCAUGCCCGUGAACAGCCACUGCACUCCAGCCUGGGCCACAUAGCAAGAUCCUGUCUUUA
ensembl:misc_RNA Metazoa_SRP Metazoan signal recognition particle RNA